GGGCGGUUAGCUCAGCUGGUAGAGCGUCUCGCUUACACCGAGAAGGCCGGCGGUUCGAGCCCGUCACCGCCCACCA
rnacentral:tRNA from 1 species